GGAAAGCUCACCUUAUAAAUAAUCCACAAUGGUGAGAUUAGAUGUAUAAUGAUAGAGGUAGGUAUCAGAAGAAAUAAGACAGGUUUGGUGCUUAGACAAUAGCUGCAGCUAUGAACCCCUACUUGUUUUAUUGGUUGUCCACUAUCCUCUGCAGAUGAUAUUAACUGUGUCAUUGCUGAGAAAACAUUCUCUUGGUCUCACUACAAGUGUCUUCCUCUGGACUAACGUAUCAGAGUCUCAAGGAACUUUGACGUCGAACACUAGGACAGUCUGAAUUGUAAUGUCACAAGGGGCAAAGCAUUUGUGUUAGCUUUCACAUGGUCCACAUCAGAAGAUGCCAUGAUAGCAAAGAACACAAAUUCCUGAAGCUGUAAAUGCUUAAGACAUCUCAGCUGUGGAACCAUGGCCAUCAUCACUCUCAAGUGUCUGACAAGCCUCCUUCUGAGGACCUUUUGGAAAAGCAGCAUCAAAAAUGUGUUGCUGACACCACCUGAUGAGGGCAGUUACUGAUUAUAGUCUGAUACCAACAAGUAGAAACUUACAGUUGGCAUCCAUUGCCCUCAAUGCUAACCAGGAACAGAAGCCACAAAACUGGGAAACUGGCAGAGAUAAAUUUACAACCUUGACAAAGAGAGAAAUAUGUAGAUGAAGCUAAUAGUUUCCAGCUCUCUCAGUCCAGAGGCAGUCAUCCUGAUGUUGAAGUAACAUCUUUCUACUUUUCUCAGGAUGAAAUAGCUAAAAUUCAUUUUGUCAGCUGAGAGAGGGGAAAAUAUGACACACAGACUGCCUGGUCAUAGGACUGUUGUGCUGUGGAGCCCCUCACCUGCCCCUCCCAAUAAAUGUGAGCAAAUUACCUAAUUUAUUUGCCAGUUCCCUGGUUGCAGGCUGCAAGUCAGACCUGCCUUCUCCUGUAAUCAGAACAGUAAACUGCUUUCAGCUCUGUCAGACACCAAAACCUUCCCCACGACCCUCAGCUGUAGGACUUUACAAAUUGCACCCAAGCAGCAAGUGCUUUGAGCUUGUACCCAUUUCUUCUAGGAACCUAGAGGAGCCUAGAACUAGUGAGAACCCAAGUGUCAUGCCUGCUCUACUGUGUUUUUGCUGUGCAAGAUGCCUCUGUUCUGUUCUAAAGGGAAAGCUUCUGACUGAUAUGUUGAGUCAAGACAACUUGAAGCUCUUCCAGCUGUCACAGCACAGAAAAAAUACAGAAUGAAAAAAUAAAUAAAGUGGGGCUGUUCUACA
rnacentral:lncRNA from 1 species